rnacentral:ribozyme from 1 species
AAGAGGACGAUGGCCUGUAAGUUUUUUAUUUACCCUUUUUUUUUCUUUGUGAAAAAUUUGUUAACAAUAUCAUUUUAUUUUUGUAUUUGUCAUGCAGGGGGGUAGCAAGGAC